AAUCACCUGUCGAACUACCGUAGUUCGACAGGUACCCUAUCGAACUGUGGUUGUUCGAUAGGUACCUUGUCGAACCACGGUUGUUCGAUAGGGUG
rnacentral:pre_miRNA from 4 species